rnacentral:lncRNA from 1 species
CUCCUCUAAAUGCAGCGAUCAUACUUAUUAUAGAUAGCCAAUAGAUGUGACUUCCUAAUAGUUCAAUUUACUAUUUGCUAUAUCGCUCUCGAAAAAAGAAUACGAUAUUUGAUGAUUGAUCAAAAUUGCACAUAGAAGAUAAAUAUAUGCUUCUAAUUCCUAUCAGUACACUGAUUAAUAUAUCGAUCAGCCGAUCAAACAUCAUUCUUCACAUCAAACAUCUCUACCAUAUCGAGACUAUUAUACCUAACCUCCAAAGAAUCGAACGCCUGAUUAUAGCAAAUAGGAAGAUCGAUCGAGCUUACCAUGUCAUUUUCAUCAGCCGUAUGAGUUAACGAAGAAACCUCGAAACAGGACACUUGGGUAUUUAUUGCACGCGUAAACAUCAUCGAUCGGCUCGAAACGGCAUGUACCUAUAUCCUGUCCAACGACACAUACUACACUCAUUUCCCUCGACGAUCGCUCGACAGAGGGCGAUCGAUAUCGAUAUAUCGAUAUACUUGUGCACUCGACACUGGCGGCGUUCGUGUAAACCUGGCGUGUGUACAUUUUGCGCCACGUUGGAUCACGGCUCGCCACCGGAUUCUGCGAUCGGGAUAACCAUUCCAUCUGAUUCCCGAGGGGGCUCUAUCCUCUCAUUCCCAAGGGAUCGACGAACCGAAAACACGACGGAUGAACGUCGACCGGAAAUGAGCGACUGUUGAAAAGAGACGAGUAAUUGGGAGUAGGGGUUACGUCAUUUAUAGAAUGAAUGAUUUGGAAUUCUGGCUGUCAUUCUGAUGAGUCUAAUAUUUAAUUUUGAUUAUUAAGUUAGAUUUUUGUAUGAAUUAGAUUUUAUUGAAUAGAAUUUCAAAAAUAAAAUAAAAAUAAAGAAUUCCAACUUUCUAUCACGAGAUCCAACAUUAUCUUUACAUUAAAUUACCAAUCAGAAAAUCUACUCAAAAUCAAUAAGAAUCGGAUCGAUUGAAAAAAGAACAUUGACAAAGAUGAACGAUCGAAAGAUCUGCAUUUUAAUAAUCUGCUCAUCGGUGAGGAUUAAAGACCUCAUGGGUCUCGGAUCAUGGAUUUUCGACAGAUGAUACAAAGGUGAACUGAGAUACCGUCGUGUAUCGGAUCAAGGGAAUUGAAGCAGUUCCAAGUGGAAUGAGAAGAUAGCUUUCGAUUAAUCCAUUAAAGAACGUGUCUUGCCAUUUGUACCGAUCUUCGGUUAUUCUUCGAUGAAAAAAAAUUUACCAAAUUUUUUUUCUUCUUAAUUUGUCGAUACUUGAGGAGAGGAUUCUGAGGGACCUAUAUAUAAAUCAUUAGAGAGACUAAUUAGCAGAAAGCGCCUGAGUUUGAAAGUUGGAGGAGAGAUUUUUUAUAAGAAAAAAAGUCAUUGAGAAAUGAUAAAUGUGUUUCUAUGUGGCAGCGGUUGAUGAUCGAUACGUAGAGGAAACGAGGAUGAAGAAAGUAGGGCGUAAUUUUCUUUCGAUUCUAUCAUGUUAUCAAAGUUUCUGAUGGACGUUUCGAGCCUAAGACGAAUAUAGUUCUUGUAACGUGGAAGAAGCUGCACAUUAUAAUUUCGAUUAAAUCUAUGUAAAUAGAUGGCACUAUGAUGCAGAGAGCUUCGUUAAAUUUAAUUUAUAUGAAUUUGACAUGGAGAAUGACGUAAUUAGAAAGAUUAAUACGAGUAAGAGCCAGAAAUCCUAGUUAAUAUGGAUGUGAAAAUUUCUGAAUUGAAAUUAACUCAGAUUUAAAUUUAAGUAACGUAAAAGUUAAUCUCGAAGGGCAUUAAGUUGAUAGAGAACUUGAAAAACCUAGAAUUAACCUUACCUUUACAUUUCAAGAAACCUAAAUCUACAUAGACAAACCUAAACUUACAUUAAUAUGCUUCUUAUGUAAUCUUAUAUUAAGCUACUUUGAAUCCCUCAGCAUUAUCUCUGAGAAAAAAUAAAUCCUUUACAAAACCAAAAAUUCUACCAAAACAUUCUGUCCUCUAACCUCAAAAAUUAAAUAUUUAUUCGAGAGCGUGAUUCAAUUUCUUUGAUUAAUUGCGAGUUAUUGAUUCUCUCAGAAAAUUAAUUCCAAAUAAUUAGAAUUCAAUUUCGAAUUCUUUUCAUUUUUCAAUCACCGCAUUACUUUUCUCAUGACGUUUUAAAAUAUAUCUUUGUUUACCGGCAAACAGGAAGUUUAGAAUAGAUCGCUUGACUCGAAUCGAUCCGGUUUUUCCUUCGAUACUCCCUUUUUCCAUUUUCCUCAGGGCAUCAAUCAUUGUUGGUUGGACGAUCGUGUGCAAAAAUCGCGACGAGAGGAAAGUUAUUCUUUAACAAAAGCGCGCUGACGCGGCUUGCUUCCCAUCUUGAC